rnacentral:rRNA from 1 species
GACGAACGCUGGCGGCGUGCUUAACACAUGCAAGUCGAACGGGCCUGUCUUCUUUUUUGGGGGUGGGUUGAGUGGCGAACGGGUGAGUAUCACGUGAGUAACCUGCCCUUCGGUCCCGGAUAACCGCUUGAAAGGGCGGCUAAUACGGGGUGGUCCGGUUGGUCCGCAUGGGCUGGUCGGGAUAGAUUCACUGUUUUUGGUGUUUCGGCGGGGGAUGGGCUCGCGGCCUAUCAGCUUGUUGGUGGGGUGAUGGCCUACCAAGGCGGUGACGGGUAGCCGGCCUGAGAGGGUGGGCGGCCACACUGGGACUGAGAUACGGCCCAGACUCCUGCGGGAGGCAGCAGUGGGGGGUAUUGCACAAGGGGCGGAAGCCUGAUGCAGCGACGUCGCGUGAGGGAUGGAGGCCUUCGGGUUGUGAACCUCUGUUUCUGGUGGUGAAGGCCCUGUCCGUGUGGUGGGGUUGACGGUAGCCGGGGAUGAAGCGCCGGCUAACUACGUG